UUAAACAUUCCGCCUGGGGAGUACGGUCGCAAGAUUAAAACUCAAAGGAAUAGACGGGGACCCGCACAAGUGGUGGAGCAUGUGGUUUAAUUCGAAGAUACGCGAAGAACCUUACCUAGCCUUGACAUAUAUUAGGACACCCUAGAGAUAGAGUGGUGCCUUCGGGAGCUUUUAUACAGGUGCUGCACGGCUGUCGUCAGCUCGUGUCGUGAGAUGUUGGGUUAAGUCCCGCAACGAGCGCAACCCUCGUCACUAGUUACUAACGGUUCGGCCGAGGACUCUAGUGAGACUGCCUUCGCAAGGAGGAGGAAGGUGAGGACGACGUCAAGUCAUCAUGGCCCUUACGGCUAGGGCAACACACGUGCUACAAUGGUUAGGACAAUGAGACGCAAUACCGCGAGGUGGAGCAAAUCUAUAAACCUAAUCUCAGUUCGGAUUGUUCUCUGCAACUCGAGAGCAUGAAGCUGGAAUCACUAGUAAUCGUAGAUCAGCUAUGCUACGGUGAAUACGUUCCCGGGUCUUGUACUCACCGCCCGUCACACCAUGGGAGUUGAUUUCACCCGAAGCGGGGAAGCUAAACUGGCUACCCUCCACGGUGGAAUUAGCGACUGGGGUGAAGUCGUAACAAGGUAACCGUA
rnacentral:rRNA from 1 species